AGCGUCGGUGGUAUAACGGUUAGCAUAGCUGCCUUCCAAGCAGUUGACCUGGGUCUGACUCCCGGCGACGCAA